UUAAUAGAUGCAACUACCAUCACAGAAUGUCUUCAUACCUUUUGUAAAAGCUGCAUCGUAAGACAUUUUUACUACAGCAACAGAUGUCCAAAAUGCAAUAUAGUAGUACAUCAGACACAACCUCUUUAUAACAUAAGGUAAGAAGAAUAUAUAAAUUACAAUUGUAUUUUAAAUAUACUUUUUCUGAAAGCUUGAAGUUAUAUAGUUGGAAUAAAUUAUUGACCUCUCAGGAUGGGUUCAGUGGCUAAUGCCAUAAUCCCAGCACUUUGGGAGGCCGAGGUGAGUGGAUCACUUCAGAUCAGGAGUUCAAGACCAACCUGGCCAACAUGGUGAAACCCCAUCUCCACUAUUAGCCAGGAGUGGCGGCACAUGCCUGUAAUCCCAGCUACUUGGGAGGUUGAGGCAGGAGAAUCGCUUGAACCUGGGAGGCAGAGGUUGCAGGAGCCAAGAUCGUGCCACUGUAUUCCAGCCUGGGCGACAGACUGAUGAGAGUAUCUC
rnacentral:lncRNA from 10 species